AAACUAACAAGGAUUCCCCUAGUAGCGGCGAGCGAAGCGGGAAGAGCUCAAAUUUAUAAUCUGGCACCUUCGGUGUCCGAGUUGUAAUCUCUAGAAAUGUUUUCCGCGUUGGACCGCACACAAGUCUGUUGGAAUACAGCGGCAUAGUGGUGAGACCCCCGUAUAUGGUGCGGACGCCCAGCGCUUUGUGAUACAUUUUCGAAGAGUCGAGUUGUUUGGGAAUGCAGCUCAAAUUGGGUGGUAAAUUCCAUCUAAAGCUAAAUAUUGGCGAGAGACCGAUAGCGAACAAGUACCGUGAGGGAAAGAUGAAAAGCACUUUGGAAAGAGAGUUAACAGUACGUGAAAUUGUUGGAAGGGAAACGCUUGAAGUCAGACUUGCUUGCCGAGCAAUCGGUUUGCAGGCCAGCAUCAGUUUUCCGGGAUGGAUAAUGGUAGAGAGAAGGUAGCAGUUUCGGCUGUGUUAUAGCUCUCUGCUGGAUACAUCUUGGGGGACUGAGGAACGCAGUGUGCCUUUGGCGGGGGUUUCGACCUCUUCACACUUAGGAUGCUGGUGGAAUGGCUUUAAACGACCCGUCUUGAAAC
rnacentral:rRNA from 1 species